AUUGAACGCUGGCGGAAUGCUUUACACAUGCAAGUCGAACGGCAGCACGGACUUCGGUCUGGUGGCGAGUGGCGAACGGGUGAGUAAUGUAUCGGAACGUGCCCAGUCGUGGGGGAUAACGUAGUGAAAAUUACGCUAAUACCGCAUACGAUCUAUGGAUGAAAGCGGGGGAUCGCAAGACCUCGCGCGAUUGGAGCGGCCGAUAUCAGAUUAGGUAGUUGGUGGGGUAAAGGCCCACCAAGCCAACGAUCUGUAGCUGGUCUGAGAGGACGACCAGCCACGCUGGAACUGAGACACGGUCCAGACUCCUACGGGAGGCAGCAGUGGGGAAUUUUGGACAAUGGACGAAAGCCUGAUCCAGCCAUUCCGCGUGCAGGAUGAAGGCCCUCGGGUUGUAAACUGCUUUUGUACAGAGCGAAAAGGUUUCUACUAAUACUAGGAGCUCAUGACGGUACUGUAAGAAUAAGCACCGGCUAACUACGUGCCAGCAGCCGCCGUAA
rnacentral:rRNA from 1 species